ACAUUGCAAUCUGGUGGUGGGCUCGCUAAAGCGGCCUUGACCAGUCAUGCGUGAUUGAGACGAUGAGCCGCCCGAAGUUUCGAGGCGGCUUUUUU
rnacentral:ncRNA from 1 species